UGGUAAUGAUUUCUCUCCACUGAUUUCUUUAAUAAUACUCCAAUUCCAUCACUCUCUACGAGUUUUUAUUUUCAUCAAAAACUGAACAUUUUGUAUUAUUGCGAAACCAAAAAUUACUCAUGAAUAAGCCUGGACCAUGAAUUUUAUAUCAUCCCCAAUAUUCUACCAGAUGAUGAACAUUCAGGAACUCGUAGAUAGUCAAGUGAAAUUCAAUCCACGAAAUAAUUUAAUCUAUGAGCAGCGUCGUUUGUGGUAAAUUUUGAUACUGUUUUUGAUUUCAGAGGGAUUGCUUUUGCAGCUGAUUCAGGUGAUAAGCAAAUCUGUUUGCGUUACAAUGCCAUUAAAUAUUGAGGAGAUAGUGUUUGAUGAAAGUCUCCAGCGAAAUGAGUUUUGAGUUACAAUGCCAAUUUUGACAUCUGAAGCUUGUUGUAACUGAUGAUAAAUCUGUUUUACCAUGAGAUUUUCGAUGUCUUUUCAACCAGCCAUCUUUAGUCGAUUUAGGGAUCCAGCAAUGUGUGAGUGCAUGAAAAAUGGCUUAUCCACUUGUUAUUGGUUCAAAUUUGUGCAGCAUUUAUUUCAGUUCAUUCUCUUCGAUCGUGCUCCGGGAAAUGCAUGUGGUGCUUUGAGUUUGUUUUCAUGAGUUUGAGUUUGCAAGGCUUUUACUGAUUGUCGCACGGUUUUGGAUAGAAUACCAAGGAAUGUGUUGUUUGUUGGAUUGGACGGAUAGAGGCUUAUGAACGAGCAUACAACUGUGAGGGAGUAUUCAGUUUGUUCUUCUUAAUACAACAUGGAUAUGUUAUCUUUGGUAGACUCUAGAUAGUCAUUUGCAAUGCAAAUCUGUUCAUUGAUAUGGAUUCCAUCUGUGGGGGUUCUGCUAUGUUUCAAUGCUAGUUUGAUGGUUUCUCUCAAGAACAAGACUUCUUCCUCUACGCUCAUCCCUUGUGCUAUUGUAAUACUUGAGAAAUACAAUAUUGUUACAUGGAUAGCUACGAAACAUGCAGCUUAUUCAAGUAUUAACUUACAACUGAGUGAAAUGGUCAAGAUAACUUACAGGGACAAAGCUUAUUAGUAUUGGUGUCGUACCAUACGAACUCACUCGACCAGAUUUAUGUAGGAUGUUCCCCAGCUAUGCAUCCCAGUUGGCUCCUCCUAUAUGGCGUGAGAAAUUCGCUUCUUCUAUGGCACUUGGUUUGGCUACUUGGCUUGCUAGCUGCCAGGAGAUACUUCAGGAAUUCUUCAAGUACCCACACAACUGGACUUGAACGGCAUAAGGAACAAACAAAGCAAUUGGUCAACACACAUUUUGAUCGCUUUGUACCUUGCAAAACAAUGAUUUAUUGUAUGCAAGAGCUCAGCUUAGUUUUUCAGUGUGCGUUUGAGUUGCUGUGCGCAAGUUUGGUGCAGAAAAUGUCCGAGGUUACGAAUAUUACUUCACUUCGCUAGUACCACCCAUGAGCACAUUCAUAACAGUGUAUAUGAUCGGACACUAAGGCAACACAACAAAGUAGAGUACAAUGUUUUACCUUCUCGUAUAGGAAUACAGUCCAUCAGGAGAGUACCAAAAUUAUGCAAGCAUCAAAACACUCUGUGAGGCUACAGGAGCCACUGUUGUACCAGUAGCUGGCCACACGACUUUCUUGUGGAAUUGCUUGUAGGACAUUACUAAGGAGAUUCUUUGGAUACCAAAAUAGUGUCGGAAGGUCUCUCAAGGAUUCAGAGCAUGUGAGGAAAUUCUUUGCCUACGUUCAGCUAUGGGCUUUUGACUACGAUGUUUUUGGUGUUAAGGUUUUACUACUCGAACCUUGAGGACAAGGUUCUUAUUGGGUGUACCAGUAUUGGCAAAGCAGCCCAAUAACAGAUUAAAUGACUAUGUUUGGGAUCCAAGUUGAAUAUAAUUGAGGCAGCAAACUAGGUUUAUGCGAAUAUUGUUGGAGUGUCUGUGUCUCCUCAUUCCAAUUCAAUCCGUUUUUCUCUUCCGUUUCAGAGUCUAUGCUUUUCAUCUCCCUUCUAUCCCUUGUUUACUAUUCCUUGUUAUCCUUUCAACUACCUUGUUGAUCUUAAGCUUUCCGUUGCAACAGUUAGUUUGAGCUUUCAAUCAAAGGAAUUGCUUCCCUGUUGUUGAGUGUGUAAUUGUUCACUUACGAAGAUCGAUCAAGAAUGGUUCAAUUUCGCUAAUUCAGAUGUAGAUGAACCCUCACUGGUGAAAUGCCACCAAGUUAUUUGCCAUGUCUAGUUUGCCUCGUCAAGAGCUCAAGUAGAUAGAAGAAGGGUCCAGAUCCUUGACCUUGGGCCUUGCGGAAGUUGGCAUAGUUGUGGAAAAAGUAGAGGCCGAAGUCGACAAGGCAACCCGUUGCAGGCUCACCAUCAAUGAAGAUGUGAGCUUCUGGCAAAUGCCACCCUCUUGGGCGCACAAACAACGUAGCUGUCUGAUCAUUCAGUUUAUACACUUUGUUUCUAGCUUGAUCUUGGAAUGUUAUUGUUCUAUUUACUGCAUCCCUCAAAUUUAUCUGGCCUCUCAUUAAAUUCUCCCAGCUUGGUGACAGUGCAUCUUCAAAGUCCGCC